AUUUCCUCAUGGUUGUGAUUCCUCUUCACUCUUUUGAAUUUGGAAGGAUGGCAUACACAUCUGAAAAAUACCACUACUUCCUUCAUUGGACGGCAAGGUAUUUCUGUUUGGAAAAGUAAUGGAGUCCAGUCAACUUCAUUGAUCUCCAAGGACUGUCAAAAUUAUAAAACUUGCUGUGGAGCUCUGACAUGCCAGAAGCCGCUAGAAAAAGAAGUUUGACAUUCAGAAACUUAUCAAGAGGUUCUACUCUUUGGAUAGAGACCAAAAUCAUACUUUGAAAAAGCCUGACAGGUUUCUUCGGAAAAGUGGCCAUCCAUGGAAUGAAUGAAAUGUUCUCUUUCUAUUCCAGGGAUUGCAGUGGCAAAGCUAGGCUAGGUCUUGGAGGCUGGUGUAAGGCGAUGCGGGUGAAGGCAGGAGGCUGAUGGAGAGACUGGGGGGAAGAAAAGCCGAAAUGGAUUCACGGUGCCUUGGAUGAAGGACGAGAGGGGAACUGCAAGCUCCUUCAACUGGUUCUGUCCGGUGAGAAGUGAUCAAGCUUGGGCUGACAAGAGGCUCAGGGAGCCCUCACGUUCUUUCGCUUUUUUACCUGCCAAUCAAACUGCUACAAGACAACACCCUGAUCUGGCAUGGACAU
rnacentral:sRNA from 1 species